AGGUGAUAUAUUGAAAAAUGGUAUAUGUAAUUAAUAUUAUUUUAAAGAUAACGAAUCAAAAUUUAAAAAUGAUUUAAAGAUAAAAAAAGAAUCAAUCAGAAUCAUGAAAAUGAAAAAAAAAGAAAACAAGUGGAAUGAAACAUCUGAGUAACUUGAUAAAGAACCAACAGGGAGAAUAUGAGUAACGGUGAGUGAAAAUAAAAAAAAUCUUAAAGUAUUACCAAGAGGUAAGAAGAAAGUAGUUUCCAACUACUAAGAAGAAGAAAUAAAUUUUAGAUAAAAGUACCGCAAGGGAAAGUUAAGAAAUAGAAUAAUAAAGAGCAGUUAUAGUAUAACGUACCUUUUGUAUAAUGGGCCAGUGAGUUAUAUAUUUUAGUGAAAAAAAAAUUUAUAUAAAAAUAGAAAAAAAUUAAAGUAUAUAGGCCCGAAAGCAAACGAUCUACACAUGUUCAAGUGUAUAUAAAAAAAAAUUUAUAUAUGACUCAAUAGGUAAUUGUAGCAAUAAUUUCUAAAGAAAUGUGUGUAGCUGUGACAGACAAAUCUGGUUUGCAGAUAGCUGGUUUUCUGCGAAAUAUAUUUUAGUAUAGCCUUUAUUUAUUGUUUAUACUGGUACAGCACUUAAAUACCUUUGGGGAAUUAGAAUAUAAUUUUAUCAAAAUAUUUAAACCUCGGAAUCAGUUUAUAAUUAUGAAAAUAAGGAGUCAGACUUAUUGCGAUAAGGUAGUAAGUCAAAAAGGAAACAACCUAGACUAUUAAAUGUAUGUCCCAAAUAUUAAUUAAGUGAACUUAAUCUAUCCUACUUUUAUUUUAUAAAAGUUACUCUCAUUAUUUAUAACAUUAAUGUUAUAUAUGGGAAAUUAAAUUAUAGACAAUUAGUAAGUGGGUUUGACAAUAAUCAACUUUUAAUGAACAUGUAACAAUGCACUAAUUUUAUAUAUAAUAUAUAUAUAUAUUAUUUAUUAAUAAUAGAGAAAAUAUAGCGGGUCUAAAUUAAUAACAGUAUUAUAGAUAUAAUGAGUAUCAUUAUAUGGUAGCAGAAUAUAUAAUUAAUAAUUAUAAAGAUAUUGCUGGCUUGAGUAACGAUAGAUAAUAUAAGAUUAUCCCCUUAUUCAUAAGGUUUUACUAUAAACUAACGGUCCCUAAGAUUAAUAUAGAAAUAUAUAAUUAAUGGGUGAAAGAACAAGAAAAUAAAAAUGAACCGUACUGUAGACCGACACAGGUAUGAUUAAAAGGGAAUGGGAUAACUACUUUGAAUGAACUCGGCAAAAUAAAUCGUGCGACUGUUUACCAAAAACAUAGCUUAUUGCAUACUAGUAAUAGUUAGUAUAAUAAGUGAUAUCUGCCCGGUGUUUGUUCAAUAAAUAUUAUUAUUUAAUAGAUAAUUUUAUAAAAAACAGAUAAACGGCGGUCUUAUUGUGAGGAUCCGAAGGUAGCGAAAUUCAUUGACGUAUAAUUGACGUCCUGCAUGAAUGAAUAUACGAUGCGAUAACUGUAUCCAAAGUAGACCCAGUGAAAUAGCAAUUGCGGUGAAAUUAGUACUAUAAUAUUAUAUUAUACGCCGGGUUGGUGAAAAUCCAACUUUAUAGUUUUAAUUUUUUAUUUUUCCCAUAAAAAACAAUAAUGAGAGUAAAUACAAUUCCCAUCUACAAAGGAUAUAAGCCCUUGGGGCUCAUUAAUUAUUUUUUUAAGCCCUCAUUAUUUUUAUUAAUGAUUUAUUGGUUUCUCCGAUGGAUAAUCUAAUUUUUCAAUUAUAUCAAUUAUAAAUAGCCCGUUGUGAACAACGGGCGGGUAUUAUAAGGAGAAUAAUUUAAAAUUACAUUACAUUACAUUACAUUACAUUACAUUAUAUUACAUUAUAUGUAGAUGAUAAAUAAGUAUUAAACAUUAUAAAAAAUAACAAAUAAACAUAGGAAUAAUUUCUAUGAAUAAAAAUAGAUAUGAAAGUUCUUUUAUAGUUAGAAAAAUACAAUAAAUAGUAAUAAAAAAAAUAUAUGGAAAUAUAUAUUAUAUGGCCGGAUAACUUUAAAAGAUUUAUCUAAAUAUAAAAAUAUAGAUAAAAGUUUAUGGAAAAAUAAAAAAUUAAAUGUCUUAAUAGACAGAUAAGUAUUAAUGAAUUAUGAAUAUAUAAUUAGGAGAGAAUGGGGAGAUACUUUGUAGAUAGGAAUAAGGCCGACUUUACCGUGCUAAUAUGAUACCCGCGUAUGGGGCAUUAUAAUUCAUACUAUAUAAAUCUAAAUAUAGAUAAGAUAUAGUGACAAGAAUACAAUCGAAUAAUACUUAUCCCUCGAUAGAGGGUAAAUUACAUAAGGCAAUAUGUGAUAAAAUAAAAUCGCUAUAAAUAAAAAGGUGAAAACGGUCAACGAUAUCUUGAUUGAAGACCGUCGGCAAUUGUAUGUGUCGCUACAGACUGGUUCACCGAGGUUAGACUGAAAUGUCUGUCUAAAUGUACAGUCGGGUUCUGUAAUAUAAUAUAUCUGCUUUAGGGCGUAUAUUAUAUAAAGGUGAAAGAUAUAUCAGAAUAAACAGAUAAGCUUAUUAGUACAUAAGUAAUAAACCUUUGUAGGUCAAACCUACUUAAUUUAAUCAGAAUUGGAAGAUGCCGUAUAUCCGUAGGUUGACAAAAAGACCCUAUGCAGCUUUACUAUAUCUUUAUUUUGAUUUUUUAAUAUCAUUUGAUAUUAUACUUUUUUUAUUUAUUUCAGUAGAUUAGGUUAUAUUUAUUAUUUAAAUCAAAUGAGAUACCUAUAUAAAUGAAAAAAGAAUCUAAUUAAUAUAAUAUACACCUAAGGUGAGAUAUUUAAGUAUAACUUAUUUAAGAAAGAGUAAAGAGGUUAGUUUCGAUGGGGCGUCGACAUCAGCGAAAGCAUCUGAUGUGUCUAAUAAUAAAGGUUUUUAAAAAAAAACUAAAUAUUAAAUUAAAUUAUUUAUUUAAUAGUAAAAUACGUACAAUAAUUCUAUAUGGUAAAUAGAAUAUCUUAUAUAUAAGUAAGGAUAACAACAUAAUUGUGCGAUGAUAAUAACACUAACAAGUGGAAUUAGUACUUACGUAGAGUGUAGUGAACAGGCAUAAACAAAUGGUAUGGAUGUCGAUAACGGAUUAAAGUUACGCUAGGGAUUAAUUGUUAGUUCCUUUAUAUAGAAAUAUAUAUAUAUCUCCGCGUUAGUGAGAUAACUUUCUUAUGAAAGUAUAUAAAUUGGGUGAAUUACAAAGAUCUCUUAUUUAUAAGACAAUUUGUAGCGAAGUAUAUAUAGCCGCCUUUGCAUUUGCAAAGGCGGGAUAGUUUUAAUAGAUAUAUAAACGUUCAACGACUAGUAAUUGAGUAAACUAACAAUAAUAUUACCACGAGCCCCCAAUACCUCCCGCCAAAGGCGGGCAUAUUUUACCCAUCUUCAAAUUAAAUGGGUAUUAAAUUAGGUAAAGACAUAGUCUAAACUAUAUAGUGAUAUAUAGAAGUUGUAAAAUUAAAAAAACAACGAUAAUAAAAUUGAACAGGGUAAUACCGCGUGAGAGUUGAUAUCGUCAGCGGUGUUUGCCACCUCGAUUAAUAACGAUAGUCGAGUAUAAAUAGGUUUAAUUGCAAGAAGUCUAAAGAUAAAUAUCCAUGAUGAUUUGCAGCGAAUUAUUAUCUAUAUGAAUAAUAACUUAUAAUGAUUAUCAUCAUUUUAUAUAUAAAUAGCCCGUUGUUCACAACGGGCGGGUAUUAUAAGGAUAAUAAACGUUCAACGACUAGUAGGUGAGUACAUAUAACUAUAUCCUACCAAGAAAUACCUAGAAAUAUUAACCAUAAUGGUAUAUCAUAUUAAUAUAAAAUUAUAUAAUACAUAGUAUAUUAUGAUCUAAUGGCCUAUCUCCAUAUAUAAAUAUAUUAAUAAGUAUAAUGCCCUUUGGGCUAUGCCCUUUAGGCUAUACCCUUUAGGGUAUACCUUUUAAAAAAAAUAUUUUAAGAUAUAGUCUGAACAAUAAUGAAAAUUAUUGUAAUUAUCCCCUCGGGAUGAUCAACCCUUUAUGUUUAUGUUUAUGUUUAUGGGUUGAUUAAAUUUAAAAAAUUUAAUAAAAACAAAUUGGUCGUCUAGACUCGUCCUCCUGGUCGCAGCAACUAGGUAGGGUAGGACUGUUCGUCCUCUAAGGAGUUACUUGAGAUGGGUUAAUUACGACGUGAGUCAGUAAUGAUUUUAUCAUCUAUGGAUUUUUUUCUUAUCUGUUGCCUUAAGUGUACGCAAGGAUAAUAAGGUACAUUCCUAUGGUUAAUAAUUAAUUUAGCUAAGAAUGUUGUGUUUACAUAUUGAAUGCAUAUCAAAUAUUAAAUCCUUCAGAUAAGUUUAUACAUUAUAGACUAUAAUGUAUUAGUUAAUUUGUAUUAUUUGCAAAUAUACUAAAUAAAACAUCUUUUUUAAAAAGAUAUAUACAUAUACCU
rnacentral:rRNA from 1 species